rnacentral:rRNA from 1 species
UACAGAGGUCCCAAGCGUUGUUCGGAUUUAUUGGGCGUAAAGGGUGCGUAGGUGGUAGGCUAAGUCGGAUGUGAAAUCCCGGGGCUCAACCUCGGAACUGCAUUCGAUACUGGCUUGCUUGAGGACUGGAGAGGAGAUUGGAAUUCAUGGUGUAGCAGUGAAAUGCGUAGAUAUCAUGAGGAAGACCAGUGGCGAAGGCGGAUCUCUGGACAGUUCCUGACACUGAGGCACGAAGGCUAGGGGAGCAAACGGG